UACGAAGGGCGCUAGCGUUGUUCGGAAUGACUGGGCGUAAAGGGCGCGUAGGCGGUUUUAUAAGUUUGAUGUGAAAGCCCUGGGCUUAACCUAGGAAUAGCAUUGGAUACUGUAAGACUAGAGUCCGAGAGGGGGAAAUGGAAUUGUGAGUGUAGAGGUGAAAUUCGUAGAUAUUCGCAAGAACACCAGUGGCGAAGGCGAUUUCCUGGCUCGGUACUGACGCUAAGGCGCGAAAGCGUGGGGAGCAAACAGG
rnacentral:rRNA from 1 species